rnacentral:tRNA from 1 species
GUGGGUAUAGCCCAGUGGUAGAGCACAUGCUUAACAUGCACAGGGUCCUGGUUUUAAUCCCCAGUACCUUCA